CACGUAGGCGGACUGGAAAGUUGGGGGUGAAAUCCUAGGGCUCAACCCUGGAACUGCCUUCAAAACUCCCAGUCUAGAGUUCGAGAGAGGUGAGUGGAAUUCCGAGUGUAGAGGUGAAAUUCGUAGAUAUUCGGAGGAACACCAGUGGCGAAGGCGGCUCACUGGCUCGAUACUGACGCUGAGGUGCGAAAGCGUGGGGAGCAAACA
rnacentral:rRNA from 1 species